rnacentral:lncRNA from 1 species
GCCAGUAGUAGGUUCGGAUGUAAGUUGAUCUAAUUUUAUUAGACUUCAAUCUAAUCGGUUUAGGUCCAAUAGAGCUAAUCCGAGAUCAACAAUUAGAAUCCUUUCUAAUUGACGAUCGAAUUAAACUCUUUAAUUUGAUCAAAUCUACAAAUCAAGAUGGACAUCUAGCAAUGUAUCAUGACUAUCCAAAAGAUAUAAAAUUUGAUAAAAAUAUCAAAUAUACCCUUCAGUAGUAGUUACCAUGUAAUACAAUUUUUCGAUCAUCCCUACACCCUGAAUA